GCACAGUUACUCUAGUUAGUUAACAGAACUCAAUAUGUGAGGUCAUGUUAAGUUAGAAGACAGGAAAGAGAGGGAGGUUUCAUCAGACAGGCAGAAAGACAGACAGAAAGGUAGACAGACAAGCAGGAAGGCAGGCAGACAAGAUGUUUCCAUACAUGUUCAAAUGUAUGUAAACAUUCUGUAUAUGGUAUGUAUUCUAAUUCUAAAUGUUUUCUACACCUGGCAGCACCGAUCCACCAUGUAAAGAUUAAUGAGUAUGUGGAAAUGUACUCAAAUAAAGCUUAUUCAGACAGACAGACAGACAUGUAGCAUGGAGACGGGAUCACGGGUCUGUGUAGAACCAGGGGACGGAGUGUUUGAAUGCAGCACACAUCAGCAUAUAGCAAUGUUGUUGACUGCUAGUGAGGUUGUUCAAUAUGAGGCCUCUGGACACAGAUGUGGCUUGUUCACUUAGUUGAAAGUACAAGAGCAGGACAUUAUUUAGUGAUUUUAGCUUAAAAAACAUGCAAAUUUCACUUGUAACAAAUUCAAAAAACUGUUAUGAUUGGAUUCAUCAGAGGAUUCCUGUGCAUCUUCAGUUUUUCAAAUGAUUGUCACAUGAUACCAAAUGUGUUUGGUUAUUCGGAGAGGACAUUUACAUGUUAUGAUUGUUGACAAAAAAAGGCUGCUUUCAUACUUAAAUACACAAGGAAGACUGUUUCUAUUCAGAACAUUCAGUGCAUUUCAAACUGGACAUCAUCCACAAAGUGACAGCAUCAGCUUAAAUUAUUUACACUUGAAAUAUCUUCAUGUAUAUUGUAUGUCUAAUACCUUCAUGUGUGGGUUCAAUAUCUGCUGAUAUGAAAUGUGGAGAAUGUAAGGCACUACUAAACAGUAUUAUACAAAGAAAUGGACAAUAACAGGACAAUGUAUGCUAUCUGAUGAAUCCAUCAACGCCACUUUUGUCAUGCAUGUUUUCAACAUGUAUUAUUGCUUAUUGUUAUAUAAUAGAGAGCAUCUACUUUAUUAUUUUUGUUAUACAGAGAGGUUCUAUUGGUCAUGCCUGUUAUAUAGAGAUAUUCUGUUGGUUAUUGACAUUAUCUAGGGAGUACAGCUUCUAUUGGUCAUCGCCGUUAUAUAGAUGACAGCUUCUAUUGGUCAUGGCCAUUAUAUAGAGGGGAGCUUCUAUUGGUCAUGGCGGUUAUAUAGAAGAGAGCUUCUAUUGGUCAUGGCCAUUAUAAAGAGAGCUUUUAUUGUUUAUUGUCUUUAUAUAGGGAGUAGAGUUUCAAUUGGUCAUGGCCGUUAUAAAGAGGACAGCAACUAUAAUUUAUGGCCGUUAUUUAGAGGAGAGCAUCUAUAGGCCAUGGCUGUUCUUUAAAGAGCAUCUAUAGAUCAUGGCCAUUAUAUAGAUCAGAGCAUCUAUUAGUCACAGUAGCAGCCAAAAGUUAUUGCUCUAUUUUAUGUGUACAUUAGACAUUACAUUAUAAUAAUUGAAUAGACUUAUUCAGAGCAACAUUUAGGAGCAAAUGGGGUUUAUAGAGUUGCUCAAGGCCACCAUGUAAAAUUAUCAAUUCAUCAACAUUUGAAACUGCACACUAUUCCCCCUGUAAGUGCACAACUUUUGAACAGAGUCUUCUGGGCUAGUUCAUUAUUAAGGGAAUAGGAAACCAUUAAGGACAGAUCCAUUGCCUCCUUUGACAUCAGCAGAGUCCUCUACGAUCUACAAUCCUCCAUGACACCUAUAGCAUGCUCUGGGACCAUCAAUAUUUAAGUGACUAAGGAGAAGGGAGGAAGUGGCAUGACAUUGCAUUCAUUCUUGGACUUGUGUAAAUGGUGCUGAACACACGCAGUAAAAGGAGGAAUUUCGAUGUUAAAUGUGGAUAAAUACUAGAUCUCUGAUUAGGAUGUAUCACUGCAUAUGGAUACAUACUAGAUCUCUGAUUAGGAUGUAUCAUUCCAUAUUGAUAAAUACUUGAUCUCUGAUUAGGAUGUAUCACUGCAUAUGGAUACAUACUAGAUCUCUGAUUAGGAUGUAUCACUGCAUAUGGAUACAUACUAGAUCUCUGAUUAGGAUGUAUCACUGCAUAUGGAUAAAUACUAGAUCUCUGAUUAGGAUGUAUCACUGCAUAUUGAUAAAUACUAGAUCUCUGAUUAGGAUGUAUCACUGCAUAUGGAUAAAUAGUAGAUCUCUGAUUAGGAUGUACCACUGCAUAUGGAUAAAUACUAGAUCUCUGAUUAGGAUGUAUCACUGCAUAUGGAUAAAUAGUAGAUCUCUGAUUAGGAUG
ensembl:lncRNA